GGGAUGCUUAGUACGGCGAGUGAAGCGGCAAAAGCUCAAAUUUGAAAUCUGGUACCUUCGGUGCCCGAGUUGUAAUUUGGAGAGGGCAACUUUGGGGCCGUUCCUUGUCUAUGUUCCUUGGAACAGGACGUCAUAGAGGGUGAGAAUCCCGUGUGGCGAGGAGUGCGGUUCUUUGUAAAGUGCCUUCGAAGAGUCGAGUUGUUUGGGAAUGCAGCUCUAAGUGGGUGGUAAAUUCCAUCUAAAGCUAAAUAUUGGCGAGAGACCGAUAGCGAACAAGUACAGUGAUGGAAAGAUGAAAAGAACUUUGAAAAGAGAGUGAAAAAGUACGUGAAAUUGUUGAAAGGGAAGGGCAUUUGAUCAGACAUGGUGUUUUGUGCCCUCUGCUCCUUGUGGGUAGGGGAAUCUCGCAUUUCACUGGGCCAGCAUCAGUUUUGGUGGCAGGAUAAAUCCAUAGGAAUGUAGCUUGCCUCGGUAAGUAUUAUAGCCUGUGGGAAUACUGCCAGCUGGGACUGAGGACUGCGACGUAAGUCAAGGAUGCUGGCAUAAUGGUUAUAUGCCGCCCGUCUUGAACAC
rnacentral:rRNA from 1 species